AGACGAUUAGUCCAAUGAAAGACAGCUGAUUUCGGCUCAGCAGAACGUGGUUCAAUCCCACGAUCGUCUU
rnacentral:tRNA from 1 species